UCCCAGCGCGUGGGGCGGGCAGUGAUUUCCGCCCUGGAACCCCUGCCUUGCCCAGGGGUCCUAGAGUCCAUAGGAGGGGAGGACAGGAGACGACACUCACAGGACCUGGGAGAAGUCCCUCUUGUCCCCAGUUAUCCCCCUUGGAAGUGAGGGUGUUGGCAGAAGAGCUACCCUUUUGUCUGGAGUUUGGAACAGGUGCCUUCACUUGGUCACAGGCCAGGCAGCAGCAACAGGUGAGGAGGUACCAUCCUUAUCUCCCUCUCACAGGUGGAGAAGCGGAGAUUCAAAGAGGCCAAGCCACUUGCCUGGGGUCACAAAGGAGGCAGAGCCAGGACUUACACCCAGAUCCAGAGAGGACAGGAAAAUGUCUGCCCAGGACGAAAAGACGGUCACCCGAAGGGCCAAGGUGGCUCCCGCCGAGAGGAUGAGCAAGUUCCUGAAGCACUUCACUGUCGUUGGGGAUGACUACCAUGCCUGGAACAUCAACUACAAGAAAUGGGAGAAUGAAGAAGAGGAGGAGGAGGAAGAGGAGGAGGAGGAAGAGCAGCAGCCGCCGCCGCCAACACCAGCUUCAGAGGAAGAGGGCAGAGCUGCUGAGCCAACUGCGGCCCCUGUCUCCACACCCAGGCGCCCUCUAGACUUCAGGACCAGGUUGAAGAAGCUCUUCAGCUCCCACAGGUUUCAGGUCAUCAUCAUUUGCCUGGUUGUGCUGGAUGCCCUCCUGGUGCUGGCCGAGCUCAUCCUGGACCUGAAGAUCAUCCAGCCGGACAAGAACAACUACGCCGGCCGGGUAGCGUGUCCACAGCCCUUAUGCUUUCUUCACUCUGGUACCUGCACUGGAGGGGACAGAGUAGGGUGGACAGCAGCCGCCCUGAGGCUGCAUGAGAGCAGAUUGGGUGCUUUUAGUCAAAGGGCAGAGGAAAGUUAUAAGCAUUUACUACAAGCAGGACACUUUCUCCUUUCACUUGAUGGCUUCCCGGACCGACCACUGAGCCGACCACUGAGCUGGAGUGUGUCCCUGAUUCCAGAGGGGCGCUCUGACCAGGAGAACCAUACUUUCCCAUCCCCUAGAAGAGCUGUUUCUCCUUAGCCAUUCUGAUGGGGUCCCUAGGCUGGAGCCAUCGGGGAUGUGCCACUAUUUAUUCCCUGAUUCACACUUCCUGCCGGAGUCCCUCCCCAACAUUCGCCCAAGGGGCACUGGAUACCCCAAAAAUACACCACCUGUGGCCCAUCGUCAGUGACAUAGGAGACAGUCAGGGGCUGGAAAGCUUCUCCCAACACUUUUUUAAAAACAAAAGUUGAUUUAUAAUUCGAAAAUGCCCUUUCAGGUGUAAAACACCACCUUCCUACGCGUGGCCCCUUUCCCAAGGCACCCUUAGGUGUCCGUCCCUCUGCGGCCAGCCCCAGUCCUUCCAUACAUGGAUGAAUUUCUCUUUCCUUCUAUUUUUUUUUAACAGAAUCAAUAACAUACCUGCAAACUCACUGUCUUGUGCCCUUCUUUUUCCUCAACUUUUUGAUUAUGAAAAAAAGAGGCAAAUCUACAUUUUGCUAUAUUUUCUUUAUAUCUCUAUCCACAAACACACCCAUAUAUUAUUGUCUGACCAUUUGAAAGUAAGUUAGACAUCAUGACACUUCAUCCUAAAUACUUUGGUGUACAUAAGAACAAGGUCUUCCUCCUACAGAACCACAAUAGCAUUUUCAUACUUUUAAAAUUAUGAAUAAUUCCAUAUCUAACAGCCAAUUAGCAUCCACUCAUGAGCAUUGGCUGGCCAGUGAAUACACUGGGGGAUGCAAACUGGUGAUUUUGAGUUGUCUUUCCUUCUACAUCACAUAGUUGCUAUUCUUUUAUAAGAGCUUUCCUUUUUCCCGUGUGCACGUGUGUGUGCAUGUACCCCUCACUAUGGACGCAUGGAUUUUUUGUGUGUUAUGUAUUCAGUGUAUUACAAUGAUAGCCAUUCUUUUCAAUAUUCAAAUGGUCCCAAACCUGGCCACUGUGAGCCCCUUUGAGUGGACUGCUGUGUUCCUUUGGCACGACCCCAUAGUCUGUGAGCAUUUCCCUGCUCAAAGAUGAUGUCCCAGCUGACUUUGAACUUUCCCUGCCUCAGAAUGGAAAUGGUUACUUUACUGAAGACCAGUAUUUAUCAGUCAGGAUCUGGGAACUCUUCACUCGCCAUCUACCUUGGUGAUCAUUGCUAGUCAACCCAUAUGGAUCAGCCUUGGUCUGUUUAACAGUUGCGUAGUGCUCCAUAUGGAGGUACCAUAAUGCAUUUGACGAUUGCCCUCUAAUGGAUAUUUCAAUUUUUCUACAAACUAUCUAGGGCAGCCGUGGGCAAACUACGGCCCGCAGGCC